GUGCCAGCCGCCGCGGUAAUACAUGUGGGGCAAGCGUUGUUCGGAAUUACUGGGCAUAAAGGGUGCGUAGGUGGUUUGGUAAGUCAGUGGUGAAAUCGUCCGGCCCAACCGGACACGUGCCAAUGAUACUGCCGAACUCGAGUGCGUGAGGGGUGGGGGGAACGAGCAGUGUAGCGGUGAAAUGCGUAGAUAUUGCUCGGAAGGCCAAAGCCGAAGGGACCCCACUGGUACGUAACUGACACUGAGGCACGAAAGCGUGGGGAGCAAACAGGAUUAGAUACCCUAGUAGUCC
rnacentral:rRNA from 1 species